UUUCCGUAGGUGAACCUGCGGAAGGAUCAUUAUUGUAUAACCGAGGUGCGAGGGCUGUCGCUGACCCGAAAGGUCGUGCACGCCCGAGUGCCCUCACUCACAUCCAUCUCACCCCUAUGUGCACCACCGCGUGGGUCCCCCUUUGGCUUGUUCGGAGGGGGGCUUACGUUUUCACACAAACUUUGUAUGCAGUGUAGAAUGUAUUUUUUGUUUUUGCGAUCACGCAAUCAAUACGACUUUCAACAACGGAUCUCUUGGCUCUC
rnacentral:misc_RNA from 1 species